GUGGAGAAGGCCAGGGGAGGUGGCAGAGAGGGGGACCCCUGAUGACUAUGGAGAAGCUGCGGCAGCCUUCUUGGGAAGAAUGCAACAAGCUGGGAGACAGAAGCCCAAUUGCAUGUUAACAGUCCAGUUUCUCUUCUGCUGCCACAGUCCUUGUCUUUGGCAAUCCCUUGCAGGUACAGCAUAAGCAGUAGCAGCAUGGCUGCUUCAAAACAUCCUACAAUGUUUCUCAGCGAUGACCUGAAGUGACCUUGUGUAGGGGAGUCCCCUGUGGUUCAGUGUUAGGAUCCUUGUCUGCCACACAAGACACCCGAAUUCAAUUCUCAGAUGCUUAUACAACUGCAACCCUGGAGGCAACAAAUGUCUGGACUCAGUCUGGUCUUUGGAUUCUGUCUCAGUGGCCUAAAGUAGGGAUGGAAGGUCUGGGCAGCCUCUACUCCUCCAAAAUGCCUGCCUUGCAUAUGCUUUGACAGGGCUGGAUUAACCCUUUAGUGGGCCCUAGGCAAACAAACUUGUGGGCCCUGGGCCAGUUGAGGCCCCCUCCCUACCCCGGCGCUGCCACCCACAGGGAGUGGCGCUUGGAGCUGCCACUAGGAAGCUUCUGCUGUGGCAGCGAAGCCAGCAGAGCGGAGGGAAGGGGAGGGGAAGGGAGGUGGACUGGGCUAUUUGCUCUGCUGCUGUGGAAGUAAGGACUGGAGCCCCCUGCAGCUCAGAGCCCUAGGCAUGUGACUAGUUUGCAUUAAUCCAGCCCUAUGUGUUGAAGGUCUGGGUGACCUGUCAUGCAUAUACCAUGAUCCGGAAGGAUUGACGGUUGCUUAACCAUAUUUAUCCUCUGCUUAUUACAGUGUCCAAGAUGAUUGCAAAUUGUUAUCAUGAAAUAUGCAUAGAUCAGCUGAUAUGAAUUCCUCUUAGAAAGCACGGGCCAUUUUAAAAGUAAGGGCUUAAUCUGCCUUAAUUUCUCACACUGAACAGUAACCUUGGGCCAGAUCCCAAAGUCUAAAAGUCAAUGAGAACCUUUCUGUUGAUUUAGUGGGCUUUUGAGGGGUCUUAUUUUGUUCAUGCUGUCCUUGAUUAAAGUUGGGUUACUUGUGAAGCAAAUAAACAUAAAGGAAACAGAA